CGGGGUAGAGUAACGCGUGAGGAACCUGCCUCAAAGAGGGGGACAACAGUUGGAAACGACUGCUAAUGCCGCAUAAGCCCACGGCUCGGCAUCGAGCAGAGGGAAAAGGAGCAAUCCGCUUUGAGAUGGCCUCGCGUCCGAUUAGCUAGUUGGUGAGGUAACGGCCCACCAAGGCGACGAUCGGUAGCCGGACUGGGAGGUUGAACGGCCACAUUGGGACUGAGACACGGCCCAG
rnacentral:rRNA from 1 species